GCUGAAGAAGCUCAGUUGGGAGAGCAUUAGACUAUAGAUCGAAAAGUCCCUGGUUAGAUUCCGGGUUCCCGCA
rnacentral:tRNA from 1 species